rnacentral:pre_miRNA from 1 species
CAUGUACUCCUUUCAUUCGGAAUUACUUGUCUCGGAAAUGGAUGUAUCUAGAACUAAAAUACAUCUAGAUACAUCCAUUUCUGCGACAAGUAAUUCCGAACGGAGGGAGUAAAUU